UUCCCACAUCGGGGAUCAAACCCGGGCCUCCUGAGUGAGAGCUAGGUAUCCUAGCCACUCGACCACUUGAUGA